GACGAACGCUGGCGGCGUGCCUAAUACAUGCAAGUCGAAAGCAGUGGGGACGGGUGAGUAACACGGGGGUAACCUCCCAUCAGAGGGGAUAAGACUUGGAAACAGGUGCUAAACCGAUACUGAUGGAUGGACCACAGUUGCAUUAGCUCGUUGGUGAGGUAACGGCUCACCAGGGCCACGAUGCAAAGCAGACCUGAGAGGGUGAUCGGCCACACUGGGACUGAGACACGGCCCAGACUCCUACGGGAGGCAGCAGUAGGGAAUCUUCGGCAAUGGACGAAAGUCUGACCGAGCAACGCCGCGUGAGUGAAGAAGGUUUUCGGAUCGUAAAACUCUGUUGUUAGAGAAGCGGUAUCUAACCAGAAAGCCACGGCUAACUACGUGCCAGCAGCCGCGGUAAUAC
rnacentral:rRNA from 1 species